GCAGGUUCUAGUAAUUCGUGUUUCGUUAAUAAAUUAUUUUUUUCAUUUGGUGUAUGGGUCCUUGCGAUGUUUUUCCCAGAAGCAACGCAACCCCAUACACUUUAAUUUAUAAUUAGUAUUAUUUGUGCAAUGUUUAAUUUUUUGGAAUUAUUUUAUUAGUAGCAUGGAUGUAAAUAACUCGUCUAAAAUCUAAAAACUUUGUUAAAUAAAUUACUUGUUUUUAUUUUUACUGAUUUUUCUGCUGCAAUGCAAUGAAUAUGCUCUAAUUAAAUCAUUUAAAUUUAUUGUGAUUGCACAAUAAGUCUCCUAAACGGAGAAAUGUUGAAGACUUAAUGUUUGAAGUUAAAAAAAAGUGUAAAUGGGCCUCAACUAAAGAUACCAGGGGGUUGAGUACUAUAAUGAAGAGGAGAACAUGUGCACCGAUAAGAUGUACCAGAGCACUGGCAGCAGGAUUGCAGAAUUAAUUUCUCACCGCGACGGCAAGCACCAGGACUGCUAGGAGAUUGUGGUGGAUUAAAAAGGUUGAAGGUACCCUUUUUGGGGUGCAAUGACUGCUACUUGGUACAUCUUAGCAUUGCAUUUACCAAUAUACAGGGUUUACCUUGGCGCCCCAAUCUGACUUUUAAUAAAAACCGGUAAUUAUCUAUAGAGUGCGUAACUAACUACACGAAUGAAACAGAAUCUAUACUUAUUAAUUUAUUUAAUGUUACCUAGUUGUGUUCGUCGUAGGUGCCAAGAUAUGACUGUAUUUUUGUAGUCAUGUCUUAAGUCUAAAUUCUGAUAUACUAUUGUUUUGGUUGAUCAAAAAGCUUGAAAUUAUAGAUGUGUAUGAUACGGCGUGAUGACAAAGGAGAUCGCAUACAAUCGGA